rnacentral:lncRNA from 10 species
GGCCUCUCACUUUUUUUUUAAUGGAGUCUUGCUCUGUCACCCAGGCUGGAGUACAGUGGUGACAGGGCUGGGUUCCCUACUGCAAGCUCUGGGGAUGGAUCCCCUUCAGGUGUUGGUCAAAUUUAGUUCCUUGUGGUCGUAGGGCUGGCGUCCCACCUUCCUUGCUGGUUGUGAGCUGAGGGCCAGUCUUUGCUCCAAGAAGCUUCCUGCAUUAUUUCUCAUGCUUUCCAUGUGGCCCCUUCACAGGUCAAGUCUUUCUCA